rnacentral:rRNA from 1 species
CUACGGGAGGCAGCAGUGGGGAAUAUUGCACAAUGGGCGCAAGCCUGAUGCAGCCAUGCCGCGUGUAUGAAGAAGGCCUUCGGGUUGUAAAGUACUUUCAGCGAGGAGGAAGGCAUUGUGGUUAAUAACCACAGUGAUUGACGUUACUCGCAGAAGAAGCACCGGCUAACUCCGUGCCAGCAGCCGCGGUAAUACGGAGGGUGCAAGCGUUAAUCGGAAUUACUGGGCGUAAAGCGCACGCAGGCGGUCUGUCAAGUCGGAUGUGAAAUCCCCGGGCUCAACCUGGGAACUGCAUUCGAAACUGGCAGGCUAGAGUCUUGUAGAGGGGAGUAGAAUUCCAGGUGUAGCGGUGAAAUGCGUAGAGAUCUGGAGGAAUACCGGUGGCGAAGGCGGCCCCCUGGACAAAGACUGACGCUCAGGUGCGAAAGCGUGGGGAGCAAACAGGAUUAGAUACCCGCGUAGUCC